GAAAGGCGAUAUUGGUGGGGUUCAAUCCGAUAACGGAUUUUUACAUCAAAAUUAACAGCAACAGCUCUAUACCCAUUCAUCUUGGUGGUUGUUAUAUUAUAGUAAAAUACGAUCUCAGAUUGAGCCGCGCCAAUAUCACUUUUC
rnacentral:pre_miRNA from 1 species